rnacentral:rRNA from 1 species
UACGUAGGUGGCAAGCGUUGUCCGGAUUUAUUGGGUUUAAAGGGUGCGUAGGCGGCCUUGUAAGUCAGUGCUGAAAUAUCCCGGCUUAACCGGGAGGGUGGCAUUGAUACUGCAGGGCUUGAGUAAAGUUGAGGUUGGCGGAAUUGACGGUGUAGCGGUGAAAUGCUUAGAUAUCGUCAAGAACACCGAUAGUGAAGACAGCUAACUAAGCUUUAACUGACGCUGAGGCACGAAAGUGUGGGAUCAAACAGG